ensembl:lncRNA
UACUGCACUCGCACUAGCAGCUCUAACUGCACUCACACAGCUCUAACUGCACUCGCACUAGCAGCUCAUACUGUGCGAUUUUGGCAACAACAUCGGACUCUGUCGUCUUUGCUGUUUCCUUUUUCUCUGCGGCGGUUGUAAACACUUCCUGUUCCAGCGCGGUUUCAUGUUCGCUUAGAUUAAAGUUUUGAAACUUUGGGACUACGUUGUUUACAUCGGUUUGAUCCUUAAACAAGACUUGGGUGAAGAAUUUCUGUUGGGAAUCCUCGACUUCACGCUGUCUGGAAGCUUCGCUCGAAGCAAAGUUAACGGAAAUGAGCUUCUUAUUGUAAGUAACGGUGGCUAGCUAACUAGUCAGACCUCUGUCUGUUAUUAUGCAGCGACGUGGUGGUUGUUUGGAGAUAACUAGAGAUAUUUUGGUGGGAUAAUCCCCGCUGAAUCGAUGUAAACCAUCACUAAACAGUCAGUAAUAGACUAACUAGUUACUAGCCCAUAGUUAGAGUAACUUUCCUGUCUCCUCAUGUGGCUCAGGCCAGCUUUAUGAGUAACGUUAGUUAGCCAACACAGCUACAACCACGGUAAGAUUUAACAAAUAUAUCAAAUAUUAGUUUUUAUAUUAGCGUAUACAACACUAGUGUAAGUUUAUAUUUGAAACAUCAAUCCCCUGGACGCCUUUAUUAGGCCGUGUUUUCUCUUCCUCGAAGGCUCUCCAUGAAGCUUCCGCUAAAG